AAAACGCUUCACCCAGCGAGCCUCUCCCUUUCUCUCCCUGCAUGAAUCGCUCCUGUCCCUGAGCCCCUCGCACGCGCUAGGGUUCCUCACGCCGCCGUCGCCGCCAUCUCGCACCCAACCCUAGCGUCGCCUCGCCAUCCCUCACCACGUCCCGAUCCAUCCCCUCUCCCCUGAAUCACCCCGCUGCACACAAUGCUUUGACUUGAUGUCGCCUGCUGACGAACUGCGGCGGCACAUCAGUUGUGGACGAGCUGCGGCGGCGCAUUGGCAUUGCUUGGUGAGGGGAAAUAUUGCCUGGAGUCUGGGAAAGGCGCGGGUCUGUCGCGCCAAUCGCGGGUUUCAAGCAGGCACCGCAUCAUGCAUCUCUUGCCCGCUGACGUGGGAUCGAGUUCGCGCCACGCCCCAAGCCCACAAUCCUCUGCGAUGAGACGCCGUGGGACGCGACCGCGACCACCAUCCUCCUCGCUCGCGCUGCUGCCGAAUCACAAGCUCGUCAUGGUCCUCUUCCCCCUCAAGCACAUCCGCCGGCAUCAUGGUGCGCCGCUUCGACCUCCCGUCCCGACUGCUGCCGCGCACAUCUUCUGCAAGGUCUGCCAUGCCUUCACCGACCGCCGGAGAUGUCACUACCCUCCGCAUCGACCAGGUUCAAGGUCUGUGCACUCUCCAUCCUUUUCCUUACCAAUGAGCAACAUCAGGAUACAGCACUAGCCUGUUAAAAUAGAACCAAAUGCCUCUAUUCGUGCAUCUCUCUCUGUAUGUGGAUAAAUGGGAAGCUGGGUUAUGCAGUCCACCUAUUUGAUAAAUGCACACAAAGAGCAUGAUCUGUGGUUCUGAUUCUUCAUGAUUGGUUUCUUCCUUCCUUAAGAUGCAUAGGAACAUUUUCAGAGGAUGGUAGGUGGUGUUCAUGGCAGCACCAUCGUGGUCAUCUUUCUACACCUCUACCUCCACUGCCCCUCUUUGGUCCUGCUGCGAGCUGCAAGAGCAGGAAGACACAGAAGUUGGAGUGCUAGCGAAGGGAACAUGUAACAGGUGCUGUCCAUCUGCAUAUGGUGGUGGCAGCGUGGGUGGUAGACUAUGCGGACACUGGCACCGGCAAUGUCGUCUCACAUCUUUUGUUCUCCUUAAUUAGUUCUCAAGCUAUUUGUGAUGAUGCAAUUUUGGGCUAUGUGUGCGCGCUACAGAAAAUAGAAUAAGGAUAAUGUUGAUGCUUAUAUGUUCAUGCAAUUUUUUACUCUUGUAGUUGCUAAUGCACUCAUAUUAUUUUAAGUUCAUGCUCAUGUAUUGUAGUUCUACAUCUCUCUCCACCUCCUUCGAUUUGUUGCAGAUUUCUUCCAAGCAUAGUGAGUUGCUUAUAUUUCAAUGUCAAUUUUAAUUCUUGCAGCUGCUAAUGCAUAUUUUUUGUUCAUGCACAUGCAUUGAACAGCUCCCACAUCUCUCUCUGUCUCCUUUGGUUUGUUGCAGAUUUUUCCUAAGUAUAGUGAGUUGUUAUUCUCUUGCUUUUUCUGUUCUAUCAUAUACUGAACUUGGUACAUCAUUAUAUAAGCAAGUAUCGAACAUCAGGAUGUUAAAGAAGAGAUUUCAGAUAUCAACGCUAAUAUCAUCAAGGUUCAGUCAUAUACAUAAUCAUUUUCACACUCCGGCAACAUUAGAUACUACACAGUGCGGAAGGUUAUAAUUUUGAAUUUGACAUUAUAAGUUUCAGACAUUUCUUGAUAUGGGUGGUGCUGGUAGACAAAAUAAAGUAAAUUACAUGGGGCAAUUGAGUGAGAGGCCAUUAUUGUUGGCAUGCCUUUGGAAGUUUGUCCGCAAAUCUUGAUAUAGUCUGAAGCUUCUCGGCUAUGCACAUUUUGGGAGGAAUUGCUCAUGAACCCAGAGUGGUAUCCCUUCAAGAUUGACGUAGCUGGAGACAUCAAGGUGCGCCGAGUUCUUUUACAGACCAUAUCUAUUUUCCAUUGAUUCUUGGAGGUGAGAACUGAUAAAUUAUAUGCUACACUGCUACUUGCACGGAUUGGGCUUGUAUCUAGCCUCCCUUUCUUUGUUCUGAGUCAUUGUUAAUCAUCCCGACAACCGGACCAGAGUUGGACGAUGCUAGAGGAUUGGGCUUGUAUCUAGGAGCUUGUUGAGUGAUAAUGUUGAUGCCCCAAUGUUGUUGCAUCCUUUGUUCCUUCCAUUCCCGAUGGGGUCCGUUAGGCCUCUCCAUCAUCACCCACGUCCAAGGCUCCAAGCACGGUGUGAUGGGUGUCCUGAACCGUGUUUUUGCUCUUCGCCUGGCACUUCGUGGCCUAGUGGGUGUCGACCGCUCCGGGAGCUACCUUUUUUUGCCCAUGGGUGCACCAGUUGCGCUAUGUCCCUCACCCGCGCCUACCAGGCGCCGGCAGCGGAACGGUGCUUUCUCCGGGACGCUGCCUGUCGAAGGGGCAAGUAGGAUCUAUGGAUGCUAGCAACUAACAAGGUUGUGUAGGCGGCAACACAGGUGAGGGGUCGCAUCCUCAUCCCCAUCCCAAUUUCUGUCUAUAAUAUUAUAAAUUAGACUAUAUGACAUCGCUUCCCUUUGCAGCUGACAUGCACAUGCACCAAGGUUAAUUAGUAUUAAAAUCCAUUCUGAUAGUUAAUAUUUUUUGUGUGAUUCAGUUCAAACUUUUAUCACACUAAGUACUAACUUAUAUUGAUAGUAUACAAACCGUAUGACAUAAUCAUCCGUUAUGGUUGUGAUUUUGUAAUUAUCUCCAAACAAAAAAAUAUGUACUGUACAAAAAUCAUAAACAAGCUAAUAAACAUGAAAGACUAUUUUCUGAGGUGCUAUAUCUUUUUUUUGCUGGGUGAGGUGCUAUAUGUUUUAUUUUCACAAACAAAGCUUUUAUUUUGACAGUUUAUACAUCUUUUAUUUCCAACAAAGGGAGUAUGGUACUGCAAUCUCAAAGAAUCAUAUGUUAGAAUUCCUAUUCUCGCUGGGAGUAUAUACUUAUGAAGUUGUUGCUUUUUGCAAGUUUUGGGAGUAAUAAAUGAACCAGUCGCUCAGCAUAUCAAAUUGUGAGAUGAAAUUGUCGUGACAUAUUUCAAAUAAAUGUAGACAUAUGUUUUAACCUCAGAAAGACAAUAAACAAGAAAUUAUAGCUGUUUGUUUCAGUGGAGAAGACCAUCUUGUACUAGCUCCUUACUGAUCCUCUUUUUUAAUCUUUUCAUAUUUUCUUUGCAUCAUAAGAACUGAAUGGUAUAUUUUUUGCUCUAAAUUCUAACCACAGAAAAUAUUGAGUUUCUUCUUCUAUGUUAUAUUCCUUCUUUUAUAUUUAUUCAAACACUAUCUGAAAAAUAUGCUAAUCUUCCACAAAAUUGAAUAGUUCUUUUGGGUAAUUAUUCAUGAAACAAGCUAUUCUGUGGUAGCACACAUGCACUUUAUGUACUAUGCAUUUCCUAUAUGAUUUCUUCAUAUGUCACACGUGUGGUUAAAAAGCUUGGAAUGUGAUUAUCAUUUCUUAUUUACUUAGUUUUUUUUCUUAUGGCAAUCAGGUCGGAUUGAAGGUGCAUCUGCAUUUUCUUUGUGUAACAUGAAGAUUUCAGAAGUUGAAGUGAAUGGAAAGAUUUCAUAUGUCGGAUUGAAGGUGCAUCUGCAUUUUCUUUGUGCAACAUGAAGAUUUCAGAAGUUGAAGCGAAUGGAAAUAUAGAAGAGGGUUUGAAAAAUAGGGAGAACAUCCAACAACGGGUAAGCAUUCUUGGUAUAUUGAUAUUGAGAAAUUACUCCCUCUGUAAACUAAUAUAAGAGCGUUUAGAUAACUAAAACAGUGAUCUAAAUGCUCUUAUAUUAGUUUAUGGAGGGAGUACAUCUUUGUUUGAUUGAAAAAACGUGUCCGCAUUUUUUAGCCGGUGGUAUAUUGAUAUUGUUUGUAUAUUGUCAAGUGAAGUUUUGUGGUACUACUAUAAAGCACCAAAAACUGGUAGAGUUGAGUUGCAUGGUGAAAAUAAAUGAACGUACGGAUUUUUUGCAAGAAGAGCGUGCAUCAAUAGGUGAAGAAAUUGUGAUUUCCAGUUAUAAUAUAGUCCUUACUUAAGAAUCAGGGUUCACACCUAUACUACUCAUAAUGGAGCUCCUGUUGCGUGCAAUAGAAUAUGAUAUAACCUUUGAUUAAUAAAGUUUUGGCAAUUUUAUGACAAUCCUUUCUCAAAGAAAUAGAGAAAGCGAUGCACUUUGGGUUUCAAAGAUGUAAAAACAUUGCUUGUAAAAGGAACUUUUUGAUGUUUCUCAACGCUUCAAGACAUUAAGUGAAUUUAAUGCCAUUCCUACGAUCAGAAGCCAUGACAAAGGUAUGUACAAAGUUGAAGAGGAAUGUAUAUGUUGUGAAACCCUUUUAUUUGCCAAAGUUUUACUAAGUGUGCGGCAAUUAAUAUGGAUCGGAGGGAGUAGAAGAUUUCUUAUUUGCUUGUCUAUCUUAUGAUUUAAUAUCACUGGGGCAUUUAUAUGAGGCAAAUAUAUUUGUUCCCUUUUUUGUCCACUAAACGGUGAAACUACUCCAAUGAUAGUUUGUCAGCUUGUUUUGUAGUUUCAUUGUGGGAAGCAUUUAGGCUUUUUUGAACUUGGAUGUUUCUAUUUAGGCAGGUUAAUUCAAAUUCUCGUUUUCUUACUUAUGUAUUGCUUUUUCUUUAACCUGCUAGGCAUCUUGGGCAUUGUCAAGGUGAUUGUGUCGAACUUAAAGACCUUCAUCGACAAGCACAAAUAAUUUAGGAUGUGUUCUGACUUUGUUCUCCCGUUGUCUUUACUUUCUAUUCAUGUAGACCUUUGAACACAUUCUUUAUAUAGUUGUAUGCCCUUUUAAAUAGUAUUUAUUAGCAAGGAGAAACUCUUGUUAGAGUCGAGGCUAAUGUCUUGCUAACUUCAGUUAUGUUAUUGUGAAGCCAAGACCUUAGAAAAUAUUCUUAUAUAAACAAAUGAAAGAUUUUGUUUUUGAUGGGCGUCAAAUAUAUUUAGUUCAAAACUUA